rnacentral:tRNA from 1 species
GUAAAUAUAGUUUAAGAAAAACCUUAGAUUGUGAAUCUAAAAAUAGAAGAUAAUACCUUCUUGCUUACC